rnacentral:rRNA from 1 species
GACGAACGCUGGCGGCGUGCUUAACACAUGCAAGUCGAACGAUGAACCCGGAGCUUGCUCCGGUGGAUUAGUGGCGAACGGGUGAGUAACACGUGGGCAACCUGCCCCAAACUCUGGGAUAACUCCUCGAAAGAGGUGCUAAUACCGGAUACGAACUAGACAGACAUCUGUACUAGUUGGAAAGUUUUUCGGUUUGGGAUGGGCUCGCGGCCUAUCAGCUUGUUGGUGAGGUAACGGCUCACCAAGGCUACGACGGGUAACCGGCCUGAGAGGGCGACCGGUCACACUGGGACUGAGACACGGCCCAGACUCCUACGGGAGGCAGCAGUGGGGAAUAUUGCGCAAUGGGCGAAAGCCUGACGCAGCGACGCCGCGUGAGGGAUGAAGGUCUUCGGAUCGUAAACCUCUUUCAGUAGGGACGAAGCGAAAGUGACGGUACCUAAAGAAGAAGCACCGGCUAACUACGUGCCAGCCGCCGCGGUAA